rnacentral:snoRNA from 1 species
UUAACUGUCAAAUUUUCACCAAUGGAGAAGAUGAACAAAAUGAGUGAGAACUCCCUCUGUCUAUCUCACUGGUUCUGAGGUAA